AAUGACAUGGGCUUCGCGCCAUUUGUGCACAAGCUCAUUCUUCAGUGACGUUUUCUAAGUUCGUUUGCCGCCAUUUAUUUCGCCUUGCUAAAUUAACAGGGGCCCCAAACACACAACGGCUUGAAUUGACUUCUUUCGAUUCCAGAGAAGGGUUCUCUAUCUUUUGACGGAAAUUAGGAACCUAAUGAAACAGAAUCAAGACUCAGUGGCAGACACAGUAUCAGUUAGCUCUAUCGAGCAACUCAAUACACAGUAAGUGUUGGAUACUGUCGAGGGGAGACUGAGAGAGGAAAGGAUAUCAAGCCAGCUUGAAAAAAUCCCUAAGAAGGACUGGCAGGGCGAAUGCCAAUGACCAUGUGAAAAAGGCUAUGCUAAGAAUGAUGACAAACUCGCUCAUGUCCAAAAUGAACAUGAAGGGAAAGACAACCAAGAUUGCGUUUCAUGUACUACUUUGUGUGUGGUGAUUAAAGAUGCAGUCCUCCUGACCUUUCGAAAGACAACGGAAACGGAACUUCAGGAUAUGGUCAGUCGAUUUCUAAAAUAUGCCCCUGGAAGAACGUGGGGGAUGGAAGGCCUAAGCACUAGGACCUCUUUGCCACCCCAAAAAAGAA